AAAAACAUUGCUUCUGGAAUAAGAUCAAGAGGUACGACCUGCCCGGUGACUUUGUGUUAAACGGCUGCAGUACUCUGACUGUGCAAAGGUAGCAUAAUCAUUUGCCUGUUAAUUUCAGGCUGGAAUCAACGGUUAGACGAGAGAAAAGCUGUCUCCUUAUAAUUUAGUUGAAAUUAAUUUUGGAGUGAAGAAGCUCCAAUAAUUUAGUGGGACGAGAAGACCCUAUUGAGCUUUAAUUAAUUUAAGAUAAUUAGUUUUAAUUAUAUUUGGAUUGGGGCAAUUCUUUUUAUAAUAAAACGAAGGUAUAAUUUUAAUGAUUUUACACUAUAAAGACCCUAAAAUUUUGGGAAUAUGAAAAAGUUACCAUAGGGAUAACAGCGUUAUUUUUCUUGAGAGUACAUAUUGACAGAAAAGUUUGCGACCUCGAUGUUGGAUUAAGAUAUCCUGGAUGUGCAGCAGCUUCCAACGGGUUGGUUUGUUCAACCAUUAAAAUCUUACGUGAUCUGAGUUCAGACCGGA
rnacentral:rRNA from 1 species